AAUGACCCACCAUAUUAUUUUAAUGAAUUUAAAAAAUGAUGAAAUUACGUUUAUGCCCUCAAUUAAAAAACAACGGUUGUGCUUUUUUGUUUCCCUCUCUUCGUCUUUCUCGUGCGUUUCAACUUCUUCACCUUCUUCCUCUCUUCAUCUUUCUCGUCUGUGCCGCUUCAAGCUUACGUUCAUGCGCUUCUUCCUCUUCGUUUCCCUCUUUUUCUCUUAUUGUGCGUGAUAUUCAACGCCUUCUUCACAGAUUGUCUAACGCCUUCGCCUGCGCCUCGCCCGCGAAAUGAAGGUUAGGAUUUCACUAAACUUACACUUAAUCACUGUGGUGUUCUUGUUUAAUUUCAUUGUGGGGUUCUUGUUUGACGUUGUGGGUGUAGGGUCUAAGUUUGAACAUUUAUGUGGGUUUCAGGCGAUUUAGGGCGGAUUGAUUAGGUUUUUCAAAUUAUUUAGGGUGAAUUGAUUUGGUUUUGACAAGUUUACGGGCUAAUUCGGGUUUCUGGGUUUUAUUUCUCGUGGAGAUUUCUCAAACUACAUCAAAGCAUCUCGUUCGAGGUACCCCGGGAAAUUCAGAUGUGGUGUACUAUUUCUGGUAAAUUUCUCGGGGUAUUCUCGGGCAAAGGUAACCCGAGAAAUUUAACAGAAGCAUAUUUCUGUCGCAUGCUUUCUCGUUUUAUCUCGCACGCUAAGUUUUAUAUGUUAUUUCUCGGGGGUAUCUCGCCCUGGAUUGGCCCGAGAAAUUGAAUAUUCAUUUAUGGGUAUUUUUUUCGGUAAGAGAAAUUGUAGUUAACCCGAUCUCGAGUGAGAUGCCCCCGAGAAUUAAGACAGAACAUUGCUUGACCACUGGUUUCUUUUUGUUUUUUGUUUUUGUUUUUUAUUUCUUGCUUAUGUUUGUAUGACUAUCAUAUUCAAUUAUGUUUUUACUCGUAUUCAGGUUUGAAGUAUGGAAAUGAGACCGAAAAUUGACCCUACAAUCUUUGCCUCUGCAAAUGUGACCUGUCUAUCGCACCUAGCGAAGACAGGCACUAAUAUUAAUGAAAAACUCACCCCUAGACAGCUAGCUAGCGAUGUUUAGGAAAACUAUUUUCGAUCAUCUACUCGAAGUGGACCUCGUUUUUAACGGACCGUUGAUACACAAUAUCUUACUUAGGGAGGUUGAGGAUAGUACAUCGAAUACGAUUAGUUUCAACCUUUUUGGGAGGAAGGUGUCAUCUGGACGGAGGGAGUUUGACCUUAUUAGUGGCCUAUACUAUGACACGAACCCAGUUAGGAAAGUUACACAUCCUCAUAGACUGAGGGCCUUGUACUUUAACGAUAGGACGAACAUUGUCUUGAGUGAGUUAGAAAAACUGUACAUAGCCACCCAGUUUGAGGAUGACUUCGAUGCGGUCAAGGUAUCGAUUGUUUACAUGGUAGAAUUGAUAUUGCUGGGGAGAGAGAGAAUAAGUGAAGUUUGACCAAACACUAUUAGGAGUAGUGGAUGAUUAGGAGGUUUGUUGCAACCAUGACUGGGCAUCUCUGUCGUUCGAGAAGAUGAUAAGUAGUCUUCAUCGUGGCACGACCAAGAUGAGAAAAGACGGAGGGUUGAGGAAAUCAUAUAGCUUGUACGGUUUCCCAUGGGUGUUCCAGGUGUGGGCGUACAAGAUGAUAUAUUCCCUAUCUGGUCGGGUUGCAAAUAAAGUUCUCGAGGAUGCAGUGCCACGUAUCCUCCAGUGGAGGGAAGAACGCGAAGAUUAGAGGCAACUGAUGCAGAGAAAAACUUCAUGAGGCGAACCGUCGAAACACCUGAACAGAGGAUGAUGACGUCAUGGAUGUUGAUGCAGGCUCAUCGGCUGUACGGGAGGGCGCACAGGGUCCGGAUGUGGGCCGAGCUGAUGAUGCUGGACCAUCGACUGUACGUGAGGGACCAUUGGAUGGUGUGGACGUUGAGAUGGUUGGGAAAGACCCUGAUUUGGACAAUGAGGAAUCCAAGGGUAAGAAAAAAGUUCGCAGCAGUAGUGAGCACUUGAAGAAGGUUGAGAAGUGCUUGAGGACGAUGAUCAUCGUAUGCAUGAGCGUAGGGAUGGCAUAGAGGCUGAUUUGAAAGCGAUUAGAAAGUUUCUUCGACGAAUUGCUAAGGGUUUACUUGUUGACGUGAGAAACAUGAGCUAUGAAAAGGUACUGAGCCGGGGGAUGGUGCCGGGUUGGGGGAUGGAGCCGGGUCGGGGGAUGGCGCCCGACCUGGGGAUGUAGCAGGGUCGGGAGAUGGUGCCAAGGCUAUAGAUGGUGUUGAGCAGGUUUAUGGUGCAUAUGGUACCGAUCGCGGAGUGGGUCGUGAGCUAGGAUGCAAUACCCCAGCUGGAGAUUGUGCUGGGACGGGAGCUGUUACCGAACCAGUAAAUGUUACAGAGCUGGUAGAUGUUGUGAAGGUAGAUGUUGGCGACGUCGUGGAUGGGAUGGACGUCGAUCCUGUGAAGGAACAUGGUGACGAGGUCGUUGUGCUUGUCAACGAAGUGGUUCAUGGUGAUCGCGGUCAGUCCAUCAUUGAACCCGACAUAGUAGAACUUCAAACGCCUGAACGAUCACAACAUGCAAGGGGCUUGCCGUUAAACGAAGCUGCCAAAGAGAACUUUCAAAAAGGGGUGGAUGCAACACCGGUAGAGCAUAUUAUGAUUGGCUCGCAGCAGACAGAUUCAUCCCCAGACAAGGAACAUUGUGCGGACGAUUUCUCUAGCUCCAACAUAGAAGAAGGGAAAGAUGUUAAAUCAUAGACGGCUGCGGAUAUGUCUGGUACGUCACACUGGGACGCGAACGAGGUUCAUGUGCUAUCGCAUCCAAUAGAUUCGCCAAAGCCCCGACGAGGAUCUCGCAAGACGAAGGUACCGUGGAAGCUCCGUGGAUCAUUCAUAAAUUGCGCCUGGCGCUUUUUUGGAGGGCAAUUUGUCAAA